CGGGUGCACUGAUCCGGCCGGGCCUUUCCCUCUGUGGAACCCCAUGGCCUUCACUGGCUGUGCGGGGGAAACAGGGCUUUUACUGUGAAAAAAUUAGAGUGCUCCAGGCAGGCCUAUGCUCGAAUACAUUAGCAUGGAAUAAUAGAAUAGGACGCGUGGUUCUAUUUUGUUGGUUUCUAGGACCGCCGUAAUGAUUAAUAGGGACAGUCGGGGGCAUCAGUAUUCAAUUGUCAGAGGUGAAAUUCUUGGAUCUAUUGAAGACUAACUACUGCGAAAGCAUUUGCCAAGGAUGUUUUCAUUGAUAAGGAACGAAAGUUAGGGGAUCGAAGACGAUCAGAUACCGUCGUAGUCUUAACUAUAAACUAUGCCGACUAGGGAUCGGACGAUGUUAUUUCUUGACGCGUUCGGCACCUUUCGAGAAAUCAAAGUGCUUGGGCUCCAGGGGGAGUAUGGUCGCAAGGCUGAAACUUAAAGAAAUUGACGGAAGGGCACCACCAGGGGUGGAACCUGCGGCUUAAUUUGACUCAACACGGGGAAACUCACCAGGUCCAGACACAGUGAGGAUUGACAGAUUGAGAGCUCUUUCUUGAUUCUGUGGGUGGUGGUGCAUGGCCGUUCUUAGUUGGUGGAGUGAUUUGUCUGCUUAAUUGCGAUAACGAACGAGACCUUAACCUGCUAAAUAGCCCGUACUGCUCUGGCAGUUCGCCGGCUUCUUAGAGGGACUAUCGG
rnacentral:rRNA from 1 species